AGAUUAGAGUUUGAUCAUGGCUCAGAUUGAACGCUGGCGGCAUGCCUAACACAUGCAAGUCGAACGGAAACGAUGCUAGCUUGCUAGCAGGCGUCGAGUGGCGGACGGGUGAGUAAUGCAUAGGAAUCUACCUAGUAGUGGGGGACAACCUGGUGAAAACCAGGCUAAUACCGCAUAAUCCCUACGGGGCAAAGCAGGGGACCUUCGGGCCUUGCGCUAAUAGAUGAGCCUAUGUCGGAUUAGCUUGUUGGUGUGGUAAUGGCUCACCAAGGCAACGAUCCGUAGCUGGUCUGAGAGGAUGAUCAGCCACACUGGGACUGAGACACGGCCCAGACUCCUACGGGAGGCAGCAGUGGGGAAUAUUGCACAAUGGGCGCAAGCCUGAUGCAGCAAUGCCGCGUGUGUGAAGAAGGCCUUAGGGUUGUAAAGCACUUUCAGUA
rnacentral:rRNA from 1 species